GGAGGGAAUUUGCGUCUCUAGGCUGCUCUGUUAUUAUUGUUGUUUUGUAAUUAAUAAAUAAUGUCAAUCAAUUAAAAAUACACGUCUCAUCUAAAAGUUUAAACUAUCAAGAUUACGUUUCAAUAUAAAUAUUUGAAUAUUUGAGUUAAUUACUUGAUUAUUUUUUGGUCUGUCGUUGAUGCCGGUAUCCUGUUUUCACAAUUUUAUUAGCUGGUAAAAAUCUGUGUCUCUUCUGUCUCACUCAAAUGGUUUUCAUAAAUAUUUGGCUUUAAAAAUAUCAGAGAGAAUCUGGUAACAUCAUGGAACAUCUUUAUAUCCAGCAUUUAAACACAAGCUUCCAUUUGCUAAAUGACACUGA